rnacentral:rRNA from 1 species
ACACGUAGGGGCCUGACGUUGUUCGGAAUCAUUGGGCGUAAAGGGCGCGCAGGCGGCCGUCCAAGUCCGGUGUUAAAUGGUCGGGCUCAACCCGAUCAUGCGCUGGAAACUGGGCGGCUUGAGUCCCGUAGGGGAUGCCGGAAUUCCAGGCGUAGGGGUGAAAUCUGUAGAUAUCUGGAAGAACACCGAUGGCGAAGGCAGGCAUCUGGCCGGAGACUGACGCUGAGGCGCGAAGGCGCGGGGAGCGAACAGGUUUAGAUACCCUGGUAGUCCGCGCAGUAAACGAUGCGCACCAGGUGUCGGGCGGCAGCGCCCGGUGCCGGAGCUAACGCGAUGAGUGCGCCGCCUGGGGAGUAUGCCCGCAAGGGUGAAACUCAAAUGAAUUGACGGGG